rnacentral:rRNA from 1 species
GAUGAACGCUGGCGGCGUGCUUAACACAUGCAAGUCGAACGGAAAGGCCCAAGCUUGCUUGGGUACUCGAGUGGCGAACGGGUGAGUAACACGUGGGUGAUCUGCCCUGCACUUCGGGAUAAGCCUGGGAAACUGGGUCUAAUACCGGAUAGGACCACUUCUUGGAUGUUGUGGUGGAAAGUUUUUUCGGUGUGGGAUGAGCUCGCGGCCUAUCAGCUUGUUGGUGGGGUAAUGGCUUACCAAGGCGUCGACGGGUAGCCGGCCUGAGAGGGUGUACGGCCACAUUGGGACUGAGAUACGGCCCAGACUCCUACGGGAGGCAGCAGUGGGGAAUAUUGCACAAUGGGCGCAAGCCUGAUGCAGCGACGCCGCGUGGGGGAUGACGGCCUUCGGGUUGUAAACUCCUUUCGCUAGGGACGAAGCGUUUUGUGACGGUACCUGGAGAAGAAGCACCGGCUAACUACGUG